rnacentral:lncRNA from 1 species
AUAAAAAUAUUUUGGCCAUUUUAAACCAUAACUCUUUGUGUUCCUGAUCAUAAUAUGUACCCAUAGCAUCGCCUAUUUCAUCAGCGCUGGCUCCCAGGGCCCUCUGUAUUUUGGGAGAUUUUAUCAACUUCUCACGAGCUGGACAUCUCUUCUUAGUCGCAUCUGAUGCAAUAAAAAUGCCUCUCUUGAUCCAGAUUGUAUCAAGAUUUGGGUGACUAUUUAGAGACACCGUGCCUACAGAAACAGCUUUAGUAAAUACUUCCACUAAGCAAAGAUAAUUCAUGUCACUCACAUUCUUGUGACGUUUUGCAAUCAAUGUCUAGAGCCAAGUGAUCCUCAAAUAUCAG